rnacentral:rRNA from 1 species
UACGUAGGGGGCUAGCGUUGUCCGGAAUCAUUGGGCGUAAAGCGCGUGUAGGCGGCCCGGUAAGUCCGCUGUGAAAGUCGGGGGCUCAACCCUCGAAAGCCGGUGGAUACUGUCGGGCUAGAGUGCGGAAGAGGCGAGUGGAAUUCCUGGUGUAGCGGUGAAAUGCGCAGAUAUCAGGAGGAACACCAAUUGCGAAGGCAGCUCGCUGGGACGUUACUGACGCUGAGACGCGAAAGCGUGGGGAGCAAACAGG